rnacentral:rRNA from 1 species
GAUGAACGCUGGCGGCGUGCCCAAUACAUGCCAGUCGAGCGAACAGACGAGGAGCUUGCUCCUCUGACGUUAGCGGCGGACGGGUGAGUAACACGUGGAUAACCUACCUAUAAGACUGGGAUAACUUCGGGAAACCGGAGCUAAUACCGGAUAAUAUAUUGAACCGCAUGGUUCAAUAGUGAAAGACGGUUUUGCUGUCACUUAUAGAUGGAUCCGCGCCGCAUUAGCUAGUUGGUAAGGUAACGGCUUACCAAGGCAACGAUGCGUAGCCGACCUGAGAGGGUGAUCGGCCACACUGGAACUGAGACACGGUCCAGACUCCUACGGGAGGCAGCAGUAGGGAAUCUUCCGCAAUGGGCGAAAGCCUGGCGGAGCAACGCCGCGUGAGUGAUGAAGGUCGUCGGAUCGUAAAACUCUGUUAUUAGGGAAGAACAAAUGUGUAAGUAACUAUGCACGUCUUGACGGUACCUAAUCAGAAAGCCACGGCUAACUACGU